rnacentral:rRNA from 1 species
UACGUAGGGUCCGAGCGUUGUCCGGAAUUACUGGGCGUAAAGAGCUCGUAGGUGGUUUGUCGCGUUGUUCGUGAAAACUCACAGCUCAACUGUGGGCGUGCGGGCGAUACGGGCAGACUAGAGUACUGCAGGGGAGACUGGAAUUCCUGGUGUAGCGGUGGAAUGCGCAGAUAUCAGGAGGAACACCGAUGGCGAAGGCAGGUCUCUGGGCCGAUACUGACGCUGAGGAGCGAAAGCGUGGGGAGCGAACAGG